AUACUUACCUGGCAGGGGAGAUACCAUGAUCACCAAGGUGGCUUUCCCAGGGCGAGGCUUACCCAUUGCAGUCCGGAUGUACUGACCCCUGUGAUUGCCCCAAAUGUGGGAAACUUGACUGCAUAAUUUGUGAUAGUGGGGGACUGCAUUCACAUUUUCCCCUG
rnacentral:snRNA from 1 species